rnacentral:tRNA from 1 species
UUUACAAUGGCAGACUUAUGCGUAGAAGUUAAGUUUCUAAGAUAUAUUAUUUUUGUAAAA